CAUGCCUAUAGUGUGAAUAAACUUUCACGUUUUAUAAUCAUUUAGUUUUGGGAAAGACGACGUUAGAGCUUAUAUUUAUGGAAAAAAGUAAUAGUACAUUUUACUUGUUUCAAUUCCCUGUUAUGGAUGAAUUCAUGCCUGGUGUAAGUAAAUACCCCGCUAUCUUAUUUUUUCCCCUUCGUGCUUUAGGCCUAUUCUGAUAAUAUACUUUUUUUUUUAUAAAGACUGCCUCCAAAAAUUGAAGGUAGAGCUUUCAUGGCUUUGAAUUAUAUACCUCCACCAUAAACCCAGUCUGAUAAGACAUACAGAAACAGUUUAGACUUUCUAUUUCUUGCCUCCGACAGCCAGGAAACCUUUUCACAUCAGAAUAUAUAAAGCAGAUUUCUGCUCCGAGUGAAAUUUGAAAAUAAUAAGAAUGAAUACAUUUGUAUUCGGCCUGCAAAAUAACACAAUAACACAUUCUUUAUGUGUUCUGCCACAGAGACUCUGGCCCCAGAUGAAGAGGAUUUCAAACCCAAACCAAAGUCGUUUUCUCAAUCUGUCAGUGUGCCAAAGAUACCAGAGGGAGAAAAAGUCGAAUUUGAUGACAUCCAUAAGAAGCGUCAGGAGAAGGAUCUGACUGAGCUGCAGUCACUCAUCAAGGCCCAUUUCAUUCAGAGGAAGAAGGACGAGCAGGAGCUCAUCGCUCUUGUUAACAGGAUCGAGAAGCGUCGUGCUGAGAGGGCCGACCAGCAGAGGAUCCGUACUGAGCUGGAGAAAGAGAGGCAGGCUCGUGUUGCUGAAGAAAAGGAGCGGAAGGAGCUGGAGGAGGCGCGCAAGAAGCAGGACGACGACGCCAAGAAGAAGAAGGCUCUUACCAACAUAACUCAGCAGUAUGGCACCUCCCAACAGAGGCACGAUGGCAAGAAGGGAGCGAAGAAGCAGACGGAGCGAGAGAAGAAGAGGAAGAUAUUGGCCGAGAGGAGGAAGCCACUCAUCGUUGAUCAUCUCACCGAGGACAAAGUGAAGGAUAAGGCCAGUGAGCUGAGGCAGUGGCUGAUGACACUGGAGUCGGAGAAGUUUGAGCUUAUGGAGAUACUGAAGAGACAGAAAUAUGAUAUCAAUCUGCUCCAGAUCCGAAUCACUGAGCAGCAGAAGUUGUAAGUAAAGCUUAAUGAGGAGUGUGAGCCUCCUGCUUGUGUAGAUUUGCCGUGUGUGUGUGCGUGUGUGUGCGUGUGCAGGAGGGUCAGAAAUCCAGACCUGGUCAGUGCAGAGAGAGACGACCCCAGGCUGCAGUGACGCGAGUGCCAAAGGAAGAGGCAAGACCAAAGGCAGGCUGAGAUAAACAUCAGUGCUGUGAGGAAGAGGCUGAAAAUAUGCAGCAGUGACUAAUCUUUAAUUUCACUUCAAUAAAGGCAAGAACUGUAAGAACUGGGGGAAGACAAACAAUAAAAUAAUAAAACUACA